UACGGAAGGGGCAAGCGUUGUUCGGAAUCAUUGGGCGUAAAGGGCGCGUAGGUGGUCCUAUGUGUCUACUGUGAAAGCACACGGCUCAACCGUGUCGGGUCGGUAGAAACUGUAGGACUUGAGGCUGGGAGGGGCUGGUGGAAUUCCCUGUGUAGCGGUGAAAUGCGUAGAGAUGGGGGAGAACACUCGUGGCGAAGGCGGCCAGCUGGACCAGUCCUGACAAUGAGGCGCGACAGCAUGGGGAGCAAACAGG
rnacentral:rRNA from 1 species